rnacentral:lncRNA from 1 species
CACUUCGGGCCGCUCAUCGAGGGCGACGUGGGCGAGUUCCUCCGUGGCCGCCGCGCAGGACGGCGCCUGGGCCGGCUACCCCGAGCUGCUGGCCAUGGGCGCAUGCUGAACCUCAACAUCCACCUGACGACGGGGGGCCGCUGGGAGAGCCCCACCGUGUCCACCAUGGUCCACUACCUGGGGCCCCGAGGACGCCCUGAGGCCCAGCAUCUGGCUCAGCUGGCUCAGCAACGGCCACUACGACGCGGUGUUCGACCGCUGCUACCCCCAACCCGGAGUACGAGCGCUGGUGCCGGCAGACGCAGGCGCAGCGGCAGCGCGACGAGGAGCUGGCCAGGUCCAUGGCCGUGUCCCUGUCCAAGAUGUACAUCCAGCAGAACGCGUGCUCAGCUCUGGGCGCCCCCGCUGCCUCCUCCUGGCCUGCUGAUGCCUCGCCGCGUGGAUCUGGUCCCUUCCCGGCACUCUAUUUUAUAUAUUAAAAAAGAAGAAGAAGAAAUAAUGUAUUUUUGCACAACCUUUUUAGAGACUGGCGGCCCGCCCUCGCGGGAUGCGACGGGCGGCUUUCGGAAACUGCUUUCCACGACCUUGCUCUCUGGGACAGGCAUCCGUGGCGGGUGGGCCUUCUGUCGUGGACGUGGGAGUCUCGCCGUCCUCUCUGAUUCCGCGUGGACGCGGAUGCGUGCGUGUAUCCGGAUGCUCCACCCAUUCCGUGUUGACAGAGUUGUUGUUACGGAAAUCAUUAUUUUUCUAGAGAUGGUCGAUUUUUUUUUUUUUUUAAGAACCCAAGGGAAGGUGUGGGAAGAUUCUGUUUGUUUUCCUUCAGAGGCAGUGCCAGGUCUUACUUGAAUCAAAGUCUUGAUUUCUGCUGUGGGCGGAGUGCCCGUGAUGGCUGCUCUCGGGUGUGUGCAGUGGGUGUCUGCCCUCGUUGCUUUAUCUCCAACUGUCACUUUGUUACACGAGGAUUUCCACUCCAGUCUGUGACCAGAUAAACCUCCUGCUUCCUGGCUUCUUGGAUUCAGCUAAAGAGAUCUGGAAACCAAGGUAAACGCCUGGAGCCAGCCCUGGCAGGAAUUUGACGGCAGGAAAAUACUGUCUUAAUAUUGUGUUCAAAAGGCAAAAUAGGAGUCCCCUGUGUUCUGUCAAGAUGUCUGUGAACAGAGCUUGUGUGGUUUGCUGGGUCAAACGAUGUUUCCAACCUACACUCUAUCUCAUUGCCACUUUACCUAUUUUUAGUCCUAUUUAUUAAGUAAUGCAGUUUGUACUUUUUUAUUUUGUAACAUUUUGUGAUUUUUUUGUACAAUACUGUAUUUGAGCAAUUCUCAGCUGAUGGAAUGAAUAAAAUGGCAUAAUUUUACUUUUACGACGUCUCU